GAUGAACGCUGGUGGCGUGCUUAACACAUGCGAGUCGAACGGUGAAGCAGGAGCUUGCUCUUGUGGAUCAGUGGCGAACGGGUGAGUAACACGUGAGCAACCUGCCCCUGACUCUGGGAUAAGCGCUGGAAACGGCGUCUAAUACUGGAUAUGUGAUGUGACCGCAUGGUCUGCAUCUGGAAAGAAUUUCGGUUGGGGAUGGGCUCGCGGCCUAUCAGCUUGUUGGUGAGGUAAUGGCUCACCAAGGCGUCGACGGGUAGCCGGCCUGAGAGGGUGACCGGCCACACUGGGACUGAGACACGGCCCAGACUCCUACGGGAGGCAGCGGUGGGGAAUAUUGCACAAUGGGCGGAAGCCUGAUGCAGCAACGCCGCGUGAGGGAUGACGGCCUUCGGGUUGUAAACCUCUUUUAGCAGGGAAGAAGCGAAAGUGACGGUACCUGCAGAAAAAGCACCGGCUAACUACGUGCCAGCCGCCGCGGUAA
rnacentral:rRNA from 1 species